CGGCGGACGGGUGAGUAACACGUGGGUAACCUACCUAUAAGACUGGGACAACUUCGGGAAACCGGAGCUAAUACCGGAUAAGAUAUCGAACCGCAUGGUUCGAUAGUGAAAGAUGGUUUUGUCUAUCACUUAUAGAUGGACCCGCGCCGUAUUAGCUAGUUGGUGAGGUAACGGCUCACCAAGGCAACGAUACGUAGCCGACCUGAGAGGGUGAUCGGCCACACUGGAACUGAGACACGGUCCAGACUCCUACGGGAGGGCAGCAGCCA
rnacentral:rRNA from 1 species